GGGCGAUUGGCGCAGUUGGCUAGCGCACCAGCAUGACACGCUGGGGGUCACAGGUUCGAGCCCUGUAUCGCCCA
rnacentral:tRNA from 1 species